rnacentral:rRNA from 1 species
UACGUAGGGUGCGAGCGUUGCCCGGAUUUAUUGGGCGUAAAGGGCGCGUAGGCGGCUCUGCACGUCCGUUGUGAAAUCGCCCGGCUCAACUGGGCGGGGUCAGCGGAUACGGCGGAGCUUGAGCAAGCUAGGGGGCAAUGGAAUUCCCGGUGUAGUGGUGGAAUGCGUAGAUAUCAGGAGGAACACCGGUGGCGAAGGCGGCUAUCUGGACAGAGUCUGACGCUGAGGCGCGAAAGCUAGGGGGAGCAAACAGG